UACAGAGGGUGCGAGCGUUGUCCGGAAUCACUGGGCGUAAAGGGCGCGUAGGUGGCCCGACAAGUCAGUGGUGAAAGCUCGUCGCUUAACGACGAGUCGGCCACUGAUACUGUUGGGCUGGAGCACUGUAGAGGCUAAUGGAAUUCCGGGUGUAGCGGUGGAAUGCGUAGAGAUCCGGAAGAACACCGGUGGCGAAGGCGGUUAGCUGGGCAGUAGCUGACACUGAGGCGCGACAGCGUGGGGAGCAAACAGG
rnacentral:rRNA from 1 species